rnacentral:rRNA from 1 species
UACGUAGGGUGCGAGCGUUGUCCGGAAUUAUUGGGCGUAAAGGGCUCGUAGGCGGUCUGUUGCGUCGGGAGUGAAAACUCAGGGCUUAACCCUGAGCCUGCUUCCGAUACGGGCAGACUAGAGGUAUGCAGGGGAGAACGGAAUUCCUGGUGUAGCGGUGAAAUGCGUAGAGAUGGGAAGGAACACCAGUGGCGAAGGCGGCUACCUGGACAGAUACUGACGCUGAGGCGCGAGAGCGUGGGGAGCAAACAGG